GUUGAAACACCGGCUCCCCAUACGAUCAUCGAAGGUAAGCAACGUCGUGUCUGGUCAUUACCGAGAUGGGUGACCGCUUGUGAAUACCAGGUGUUGUAA